UUGCAGAUGCGGGCAGGGGGAGGCGAGCGAGCCCUCUGCGCGGGGAGACUGACCCAGCCUCGGCCGGCCGCGGCGCCUACUGCGUGCGCCCUCGUUUCUCCCCGGGACGGCCUUCUGCCUGGUGGUGAGAGGAAGCUUUGUCUUUCAGCUUACCCGCCGCGACCGUUCCCACCGCGGCCAGGACCUUCGCGAGGAUUCUGAGCAGCUGUGUGAGCUCCUUGGUGCUCACAGAGUGUUGGGAAGACAACACAAGAGGCCACCAGCUGACGUGACGCGUCCGACGCCACCUACAGACCCAUCCCACAUGAAGACGAAUCCUCUUUGGAAUUAGAAAAAGACUGUAUGAAAGUAUAACUAAAUUUGGCUUCCUGUCCACCGUGGAUACAAUCUAGCGGAACAAUUUCUAUUCUCACAGAGCCAUGUCUUCAGCAGUGAAUUACGUACGGGGCACCGAGGCACCCCCCCGCCUUCCUGCUGCACAAAGAAUUCUAAUUAUUACUCCAGGAUUGCUACAGAAGAGAGCAAAGGACAUGAAGGACUGAUGUUAUAUGAAAAAGGGAUGUGUUGGAAUUUUUAAAGGAAAAUGUAGCAGCUUAACUCCCCAAAUGGUAAACAGUCUACCACAUCUGUGACAAUAACCACCCCCACAAGAUAAAUGAGAAGAACACCAUAGGCACCAUAGGGUGGAAAGUGGGUUUCUAUCUAAAGCCAAUUGGUAGAAUCUAUGCAGCAGCUUUGCCUAAACAGCAUGUCAAUCCGCUAAUACUCUCAUUAUCCACAGUAUGAAAAAUGUUCUAAAGUUUUAUGUCAUUUUGCUAAAUUAUAAUAUUGCUCCCCAAAUCUAUGUGCAUAGAUGAUAUCUUUAAACAUGCAAUUAAAACCUGUC